GAUGAACGCUGACAGAAUGCUUAACACAUGCAAGUCGAUGGGGAAGUGGUGCUUGCACCAUGGCAACCAUGGCGGACGGGUGAGUAACGCGUAAGGGACUUACCUGCAGGACUGGGAUAACAGGGGGAAACUCCUGACAAGACCGGAUAAUGUCAUGGAGCUGCAUGGCUUUAUGAUGAAAGGAGACGCCUGCGGAGAGCCUUGCGUCCUAUUAGCUAGUUGGUGAGGUAAUGGCUCACCAAGGCGAAGAUAGUUAGCCGGCCUGAGAGGGUGGACGGCCACAAGGGGACUGAGAUACGGCCCUUACUCCUACGGGAGGCAGCAGUGGGGAAUAUUGGACAAUGGGGGCAACCCUGAUCCAGCAAUUCUGUGUGCACGAAGAAGGUUUUCGGAUUGUAAAGUGCUUUCAGCAGGGAAGAAGUAAGUGACGGUACCUGCAGAAGAAGCGACGGCUAAAUACGUG
rnacentral:rRNA from 1 species